GGAAUAUUGGUCAAUGGACGAAAGUCUGAACCAGCCAUGCCGCGUGAAGGAUGACGGUCCUCUGGAUUGUAAACUUCUUUUAUAGGGGAAGAAAAAAGGGCUUUCUAGCUCACUUGACGGUACCCUAGGAAUAAGCACCGGCUAACUCCGUGCCAGCAGCCGCGGUAAUACGGAGGGUGCAAGCGUUAUCCGGAUUCACUGGGUUUAAAGGGUGCGUAGGUGGAUUGCCAAGUCCGAGGUGAAAUCUCCGAGCUUAACUCGGAAACUGCCUUGGAUACUGGUAGUCUUGAAUUAUCUGGAGGUCAGCGGAAUAUGUCAUGUAGCGGUGAAAUGCUUAGAUAUGACAUAGAACACUAAUUGCGAAGGCAGCUGACUACGGGUACAUUGACACUGAGGCACGAAAGCGUGGGGAUCAAAC
rnacentral:rRNA from 1 species